AGGUUUUAUGCUAUUAGGGCAGAAAGCUCUAGUACUUGUCUGUAAGGUGUAGCCUAUCUGAGACUUUCAGGAAGGAGGUUGCUAUGAUCUAGGGUGACUAGAGCUCUGGAGAAGAAAUUGCUGCUAUAACCCAGCUGAAGGGGGCCUGCAGGGAGGCUGAGGAGCUGGUGAAAGGGGAGUGGGCUUCAAGGAAGAUGCACAAGGUUAUGGGGGAAGAUCAAGAUAAGUUAAAGGAAGUAUCUUCAAAAGAAGCUGGGUAGAAAGCUGCUAAGCAGUGAAGGAACUGCUCUACACCACUUCAUAUAGGGCUUCUGGACUAAAACUCAGAGGAAUGGAUGGACCUAGGUCCUUCUACCAAGCCCUGCAAUAUACUGAGGGAGGGUAUAUUGAAUGCUACUCUGACCAAGGAGAUCCCUUUAGAGAGCUGGUGGUGUUAGACAAGCAGGUAGAGAGCUGCUGCUAGUGGUGCUAAAGGGGAAGCUGAGGCAGGCUUGCUGCAACUGCCUAUGUAAUUGUAAUCAGAACUUGUGGUAGAGAGGAUCUCUCUUAUUAGACAAACUAGAAUUUUUUUUUUUUCCAAAAAAAAAAAAAAUUAAUUUUAAGUAAUGUUUGUCAUAUUUGUAAGGGAUUUUGCUGGGUAACUGGAGUACUGGGACAGCACUGGAGAAUUAAGACAACCAAGUGCUGCCCCUACCACUGCAGGAGGAAAUCUGGCACUCAAUUCUUUUGAACAAACAAAGAGAAAAUAAACCCUUCUGUUUUGAGUAGGAGGUCCCAAUGAAAACUUUGCCCUUUUUGCAAGGGUUGGGGAAUGAACUUGAUCUACCUCCCACUUGCUGUUAGGGUGUGAUCUGGUCUGAUUUCCACUGAAAUUAAGACAAAGUAUUUAGCAGCUUCAUGUUGUGCAACAGGCUCUAAUUGACCUAUACACAACUAGCCUCCUACUAAGCCAUUUCUAUUGAUUAUCCCCCUCUGAUUAACAAUUGCCUGAUCCAAAGCAGACUGAAGUAAAUAGAUUUGGUUCACCUCUGGGGACUUUGGAUCAGACUUGGAUAUACUUCACUUACUCUCGCAACUUGGACUGAAGAAUGCUGACCCCUGGCAGGUUGCUCUGAGUUGUUGCUGCUGCCAGAAACCCACCUGUGGCAUUGGCAAUUGUCCUAGGCAAGGUUUAACUGCCUGAACAGAGGAAAUCUGGAGAGGGUUGCUGCAGAAGUACAAGUUCAGAUAAGCAGAGGCAGCUCAGACUUCGUGACCGAGUAAGGAAGAAUCUCUUCCCAAGGAGUUGAGCCCAGAGGGAUUUCUGAACAGUACAUUGCCAGCACAGUAGCCUUAUGCAGCACAAGGCUGAACUUAGUCUCUGGAUUUAGAAGUCUGGGAAACCCUGACCACUCCCUCCAGCACCCAGAAACAGCCUUUGGGUGAAGCCCAGCAUCGGAAUUAGCCCUGGUGUUCUUUCCAAACGUACCAGGCAAGAGUGUAUCUGGCAAUGCCUCGCUCUAGCUCCGCCGCUCUGACUCAGGUUUACCAUUUACUAUAGCCACAUCUGGAGACAGGAGGAGAAAAGGUUAUCUUCUAACAACAGCAGGAUGGUCUAACCAGCUCUGACCAUCUUCCAGACAUGUUGCUCUGAUCUGGAAUGAUUUUAGGAGCAUGGGAAGCUUCUCACUCUGAAAUACCUCCAGGUAGUACAGCAAUCUCCUACACAGUCUCCAUUCUUCGUGGGAUUCCUGUGGGAUAUGAAAUCCAGGUCAGGGCUUUGCUGGGAAGCCCAUCCCAGUGGCUGGGAAGCCCGGGAGCUCCAGGUGUGACUCCUUCCUCUGCUAUGGACACACUGUGCGGCUGUGGGCAAAUUGCUUAAUCUCAAUGUACUUCUAUCCCCAGUAUUUCCUAUGCUCAUAAAGUUUCGGUGAGGAUAGAUGCAUCGAACUCCUGUAGGGCAGUCCAGGGUAGUUGGAUGCUGCCAUGACAGGGACCAUGCAAGUAUCUAAAGGUGCGAAUGCAGCUCAUUGAGAGAUAUCUGAGCAAGCUUUAAAAUUUUGUUCUUUUAAGAGACAUUUUGGAGCCAGAGCCUCGUCACCUUGCAUUUGACUGAACACUUCCAGGCCUGUAGAAAUUAAAGCAACCAAGAAAUAAAAUUGACCUACACCCCGGCCAUAUUCUCGGGCUGUAACAUGCGUCCUGUUUUCAUGCCCAUGUCCAUGAUAAUGAGCAAAUAAAAACUGGUUUGAGAAGAAGAGGAAAAACAGAAGGUAGCAGACGUGUUAGCACAAGACCCUGUAAAUAAAAUGCAAUCUCAAAGCACUCAUCAACGGCUCUGUGAACAAUCUCACAUUGCUUUGUUUAAAGGGUGGAAAAUGAAAAGUUUUGACAAAGGUAUUUGCGCGCUGUCUGAAAUGGCAGCAACAAUUCUGAGAGUGUUAAGAAAGCAAACCAAUAUUUAUCAGUGGGAUCUGGCAUCACUUUUCAGCCAUGAUGAAAAGCUGAGUGGGGGAAAGGCAGUUUGUAUCAGUGUCUUAAAUAGACUCUUUUUUUGCUGAUACAGGACAGGGUGCUAUUUUUCACACCUUGUGCCAGAUGCACCAGAGAAGGAGAAUAUUUUUAAAUUUUAAUGAGCAGGUCAUAUUCACUACUUGCUUCCUCCCAAGAUGGAACAGAACAGGAUUGCAAUAAUUAACUAAUCAGGUUCUCUAU